rnacentral:rRNA from 1 species
UACGGAGGGAGCUAGCGUUGUUCGGAAUUACUGGGCGUAAAGCGCGCGUAGGCGGCUUUGUAAGUUAGAGGUGAAAGCCUGGAGCUCAACUUCAGAAUUGCCUUUAAGACUGCAUCGCUUGAAUCCGGGAGAGGUGAGUGGAAUUCCGAGUGUAGAGGUGAAAUUCGUAGAUAUUCGGAAGAACACCAGUGGCGAAGGCGGCUCACCGGACCGGCAUUGACGCUGAGGUGCGAAAGCGUGGGGAGCAAACAGG